GUGAAAGAGAAUCUAACUUUCACCAUCACAGACGAGCUCGAGAUCUUUCCUACGUCGACCAUCAAGAGCAUCGCGUUGCUCAACCAGCUCCAGGUGAAAAACAUGGCCGACUUGAAAAGCAUGGAAGUCAGCGUCGACACCACAGACGUAAGAAGUUUUCCUCUUCCUCGCUUAUAGUUUCUCUCGAUUUUUCACAGGUUCUUCGAUUGCUCAGAGCUUCACUCACUCGGAAAUCCGUGCUGAAUUACGUUUUCCAGUGUCGUCUUCCAAACCAGCACGAACACGAGCGCUGCGAUCGUUGCUCCGUGCAUUGCAAAUAAGCUGUUU
rnacentral:lncRNA from 1 species